UACGUAGGGGGCAAGCGUUGUCCGGAUUUAUUGGGCGUAAAGCGCUCGCAGGUGGCCCUGAUGCGUCGAUGCCGUGAAAGACCCCGGCUCAACUGGGGGCGGUCGUGACGAUACGGUCGGGCUGGAGGCCAGUAGGGGGAGUGCGGAAUUCCGGGUGUAGUGGUGGAAUGCGUAGAGAUCCGGAGGAACACCAGCGGCGAAGGCGGCAUCCUGGACUGGUAUGACGCUGAGGUGCGAAAGCGUGGGGAGCAAACAGG
rnacentral:rRNA from 1 species